rnacentral:rRNA from 1 species
CCAACAGGGAUUGCCUCAGUAACGGCGAGUGAAGCGGCAACAGCUCAAAUUUGAAAUCUGGCCCCCCGGCCCGAGUUGUACUUUGCAGAGGAUGCUCUUGGUGCGGUGCUUUCCAAGUCCCCUGGAACGGGGCGCCAAAGAGGGUGAGAGCCCCGUCUGGUCGGCCGCCAAGCCUGUGUAGAGCUCCUUCGACGAGUCGAGUAGUUUGGGAAUGCUGCUCUAAAUGGGAGGUAGACCCCUUCUAAAGCUAAAUAUUGGCCAGAGACCGAUAGCGCACAAGUAGAGUGAUCGAAAGAUGAAAAGCACUUUGAAAAGAGGGUUAAACAGUACGUGAAAUUGUUAAAAGGGAAGCGCUUGUGACCAGACGUGCGCCGGGUGUUCAGCGGGCGUUCUCGCCCGUGCACUCACCCCGGCGCAGGCCAGCGUCGGUUCGGGCGGGGGGAUAAAGACGUCGGGAAUGUAGCUCCCCCGGGAGUGUUAUAGCCCGGCGUGUCAUGCUCCCGCCCGGACCGAGGUUCGCGCUCUGCAAGGACGCUGGCGUAAUGGUCCCCAGCGGCCCGUCUUGAAACACGGACCAAGGAGUCGAGGUUUUGCGCGAGUGUUUGGGUGGCAAACCCGCACGCGUAAUGAAAGUGAACGCAGGUGGGAGCUUCGGCGCACCACCGACCGAUCCUGAUGUUCUCGGAUGGAUUUGAGUAGGAGCGUAGGGCCUCGGACCCGAAAGAUGGUGAACUAUACUUGGAUAGGGUGAAGCCAGAGGAAACUCUGGUGGAGGCUCGCAGCGGUUCUGACGUGCAAAUCGAUCGUCAAAUCUGAGUAUGGGGGCGAAAGACUAAUCGAACCAU